rnacentral:misc_RNA from 1 species
AAUUACACCUUAUUCAAUUGUUCUACAGCAGAGAGAAAUUUAAUCAGAAAUGCGCCUUGCCUCGGAGCUCCUGGCUAUGAAGUUUACGCCAUUCCUGGUUUCAAUCGCAUUAGUGAAUACACUCUGACAUCAUGUACCAAGAUGUACGACAUUUUAUCUAUUCCCUACAUUUAUUCAUAUGAAAUUUAUCCUGAAAUGUCGAAUGCCUCAAGAAAUAUUAUUCAAUUGACGUGGUCCAAACCAGCUUGUGGAUUGUGUGAAGCAGGCGGAGGAAGAUGUGAAUUAAAGAGUGAUGGCACUGAAUUGUGCAAGAUGAGUCAUAUUACCCCAAGAACCAGUGGUGCCUCAACCAAGUUAAUAAUUGCAGGUGCAACCCUGGGUUCAUUUCUUCUGCUAGUAGCCUUCAUUGCACUUUAUCAUCUCUACAGGGCAGACAGAAAAGAAAAGGAAAAUCAAGCAAGGAUAGAGAAAUUUUUGGAAGACUACAAAGCUCUCACACCCA